UGGGGCGGUGCUAAGGCGCGGGGCGGUGCAGGCUGGCGGAACCCGCGCGAGCGAGGUCGGUUUUGCUAGGGGCCUAGUCCGGUGUAGAACGCGGAGCUUUUGCAUCCCAGCUGGUUCCGGCUCGGGAAAAUGGCGGUGGCUGGGGCGGCGUCCCGCGAGCAGCUGGUGGGCUGGUGCACCGAGCAGUUGCGGAAAAGUUUCGGCCUGGAUGUCAGUGAGGAGAUCAUACAGUAUGUUUUGUCAAUUGAGAGUGCUGAAGAGAUACGAGAAUAUGUUACUGACCUCCUUCAGGGAAAUGAGGGCAAAAAAGGUCAAUUUAUAGAAGAGCUUGUAACCAAAUGGCAAAAGAAUGAUCAGGAGUUGACUUCUGAUGCUCUGCAGCAGUCCUUCAAGAAAGAUGAUGGCCAGAGAUCAGGAGACCAGCUGAAGAGGAGUAGGCGAAAAGGGAGAAACAAACAGGAAGCGCCUGCAUUUACUGAACCUGAUACAACCACAGAGGUCAAAACACCUUUUGAUUUGGCCAAGGCACAAGACAACAGCAGCUCCUUGAAGAAGAAGACAAAGUUUGUCAGUUUAUAUACGAAAGAGGGACAGGACAAGCUUGCAGUCCUGAUUCCAGGUCGCCACCCUUGUGAUUGUCUGGGCCAGAAGCACAAACUGAUCAACAACUGUCUGGUCUGUGGGCGGAUUGUCUGUGAACAAGAGGGUUCUGGCCCCUGCUUAUUUUGUGGUUCUCUGGUAUGUACUCAUGAAGAACGAGAUAUUUUACAGCGUGACUCAAACAAGAGCCAGAAACUACUGAAGAAGCUCAUGUCAGGGACAGAGAAUUCUGGGAAAGUGGACAUCUCUACCAAGGACCUUCUUCCUCAUCAAGAAUUGCGAUUUAAAUCUGGUCUGGAGAAGGCUAUCAAGCAUAAAGACAAGCUGCUAGAGUUUGACAGAACUAGCAUUCGAAGGACCCAAGUCAUUGAUGAUGAGUCAGAUUACUUUGCUAGUGAUUCUAACCAGUGGUUGUCCAAAAUUGAGCGGGAGGCCAUACAGAAGCGAGAGGAGGAGCUGAGAGAAUUUCGACAUGCCUCUCGGCUCUCUAAGAAGAUCACCAUUGAUUUUGCAGGCAGGAAAAUUGUGGAAGACGAAGAUCCUCUAGCUGAAUAUCACAGCAAACUAGAUGAGGCAAUACAUGCCAUUGCCAAUGGAACCUUGAACCAACCACUGACCAAAUUGGAUAGAUCUUCUGAAGAGCCUUUGGGACUUCUGGUGAAUCCCAACCUGUACCAGCCCCCUCCCCAGUGGAUAGACCAGAUGGGAGCAGCCUCACAGAAGAAGGCUUUCCAUCCAGCAGGAUCAGGACUAGAGUUCUGCUCAUCUCGGCAUCAGUUGCGAAUCCAGGACCAAGAAUUUCAGGAAGGCUUUGAUGGCGGCUGGUGCCUCUCUAUGCAUCAGCCUUGGGCUUCUCUGCUUGUCCGAGGGAUUAAAAGGGUGGAGGGAAGAAGUUGGUACACCCCUCACAGAGGAAGACUUUGGAUAGCAGCCACAGCAAAAAGACCCUCUCCUCAAGAAGUCUCAGAACUCCAGACUACUUAUCUCCUCCUCCGUGGGAAAGAUGUGGAAUUUCCCAAUGACUAUCCAUCAGGCUGUCUUCUGGGCUGUGUGGACCUAAUUGACUGCUUGUCCCAGAAGCAGUUUAAGGAUCAGUACCUGAUCUAGACCUAGGCAAAACUGCAGAUGCAUGAAGGAGGUUUGUUUUCCACACCCUUGUGCCUAUCUUGGUUCUAUCUAUGGACUUUUUGCCCAUUUUUUCAGUGUCUUCUUUCUUCUCCUCUCCUCCCUUUUUCCUUUUUUUCAUUCUAAAAAUAAUAAUUGUAAAAAUUCUUUAUGUUGAUGUAGACUUUACAGUUUUAGAGAUUGAUGAAGAGCUUCAUAUCACUUGAUAUAUCAUAUUUCCUUUGUAGGAUUGCUGCAUUCUCAAAGAGAACACAGGAGCAUCUGGCCCUGUGUGUGUAGUAUGGCUGGCAUGGCUGAUUUGUGCCAGGAAAAAAUCCUGCUAGACUGUCAGUUGUCCUGAGUAAUGGCCACGGAUCAACCUAAACAAGUUAGGAGCAAUGCAGAAAAGGCUGUAGCCUCAACUCAGGAAAGAAAGUAUCCAGACAUAAGUCAAGAAGAAUCUGAUUCUCCAUUUGUUUUCAUCUGCACAAAUCCCCAGGAAAUGAUUGUGAAGUUUCCUAUUAAAGGAAAUC